GGGAAAGGGGGGGAGAAGGGCAAGGAGAAUCCAGGGAAGAGCCUGAGGAGGGGGCAGCCCCCCCAAAAACAGGGGGUGGGCAGGUGGGGGGGGCGCCUGGG